UACGGAGGGUGCAAGCGUUAUCCGGAUUCACUGGGUUUAAAGGGUGCGUAGGUGGGUUGGUAAGUCAGUGGUGAAAUCUCCAGGCUUAACUUGGAAACUGCCAUUGAUACUAUCAAUCUUGAAUACCGUGGAGGUCAGCGGAAUAUGUCAUGGUAGCGGUGAAAUGCUUAGAGAUGACAUAGAAUACCUAAUUGCGAAGGCAGCUGGCUACACAAAUAUUGACACUGAGGCAACGAAAGCGUGGGGAUCAAACAGGA
rnacentral:rRNA from 1 species